UCUUAUUUUGAAAUCUUUUGCAUUAAAAAAAGGAAGAAAAGUGAAUUUCGAGAAAGUGAUAGAAAUUUCUAUUUCAGAGAGAGGUGGCAUGGGACAAUGGAUAGGGAACUAGUCUGGAGGGAGGGAGAUGUGAGUUCAAGUUUGGUCUCUGUUCUAUAAUGGCUGGGUGACUAUAGACAAAAUACUUAACUUUCCAGUUACUUGAGGAAACUGCCUAAAUUGCAGAACUGUUGCUCCUCAGCUUUAGUAGAUGGAGUUUAUGGACAGGAUAGCAAAAAAAAUCACAUAGGUACAGGAUUCAAAAUAGAGCUCUUAGCACUCAUAAUUUUUUUUUUUUUUUUUUUUUUGCCAUUAACUGGAAGAGUACACAAUUUCUCCUAUACUCUCCUCUCUCCUUCCUUUCUUCUUCUUUUCCUUCCUCCUCUUUUCCUCCCUCCCUCUUUCUCUCCCUUUCUUCCUCCCUUCUUACAUUACUUGAUAUAUUUUGUCCCAGUUUACUUGGAGUUUUAAAAACUCCCAAGUAGAUAACUAUCUGAUUUAUGUUAAAAACAAAAGUUUUCAUAUAUGUAGGGGGUAAAAUUUCUAUAAAUAAAUCAGCAUAGAAAGACAUCCUCUUUACAGCCACCUUCAAAUUACCUUCUGUAAUCCUAACAACAAAACAAUUUUUGACUACUAUAUGCUUCCUGUCUUCACUAAUGUCUUAUUUCCUCCCUCCAACAGUGGACAGGAAGAAGAAAAAGGGAUGGGUGUAAGUCAGAUUGGAUCUAGAACUAAUUCCAGAGCCACUCGAGUUUGCCCCAAGGCCAAAAAUGCCUUCACGUGGUUACUUUCAUUGGAAAGUACAUGUGGGCAAAAUCUACAACAGAACAGAGGAGAGAAAGAAAAAAUGGGUCAAGACCCAAAGCAAGGGAGUGAGGCAGAAAAACAAAAAAAAGGAAGAGAGAGAUCUGGGCAUGGGGAAGUGAAACAGCUUUUAAAAUGUGUCUGAUAUAUAAACUUUUCCUAUGCCUUCUCUCAAACUGACCUCUGGGAGUCAUUAAUAUCUACGGGGUCCAGGUCUCAGGGAUGUGAGGUGUACAGGAUGGGUCCUGGUGGUCAUCAAUACUAGACAGUACGGAGCGCGCGUGUGCGCGCGCGUGUGUAAGCUGGGAAUUUGGGCACAGGGCCCAAAGAGGUAGGAGGGCUUUGGUCAGUUACCAGCUUGAGCGGGCGGAUAGGUAGCAGGGCCAGCCCCAAGGUACCUAGAAGGCUGGUUGCAGGGGAGCUGGUAGUGACGCCGCCUGGUGGAGCAACUGGGGCCCAUCUCACCUGUUCCAACGGGCUACCUUUCUUAGGUGACCAAACGCUAAUUUGGAGAUGGGUGUUUUCAACUUUGGAGGCAACUUCAAGAGUUCCUGGGGUCUUCAGCUGGAGCUUUUUGAUAUCAGGAAGAGAUUUCUAUGCCCUACCAGGGGAAAAUGAUCAUAAAGAGAUAAUGAACCCAAUUUCUGCCUUGGCUGACCAGAAGACAUGAACCUUCAGGGAGUUGUUCAGACAGUACAAAGUUAAGGAAUCUCAUACCAAUCAAGAGAAAGAAUGGAGAACUUGGGGAAGCUGGAUGUGCUGAAUCCAAGAGUGGUCACUCAACUUGACCUUGAGACCAUUAUACCUGAAGUCCUACUGUCAACCCUGAUUUUGUCCUUUUCUAGUUGUCCUUGACUCUUCCCGCAAAGUGUUUCAUUUUAAAUCUUAAGCUUCAUCUUGUGUGAAAACAUACUGUAAUAAAGUUCCACUGCUUUAUACCUGA